rnacentral:misc_RNA from 1 species
GAUGAAGAACGCAGCGAAAUGCGAUAAGUAGUGUGAAUUGCAGAAUUCAGUGAAUCAUCGAAUCUUUGAACGCACAUUGCGCCCCUUGGUAUUCCAUGGGGCAUGCCUGUUCGAGCGUCAUUUAAACCUUCAAGCUCAGCUUGGUGUUGGGUGACUGUCCGCUUCACCGCGGACUCGCCUCAAAAUUAUUGGCGGCCGGUACAUUGGCUUCGAGCGCAGCAGAAACGCGAACUCGGGCCCGUCGUAUUGGCUCCCAGAAGCUAUCUUCACAAUUUUGACCUCGGAUCAGGUAGGGAUACCCGCUGAACUUAAGCAUAUCAAUAAGCGGAGGA